ensembl:processed_transcript
CAUCUGAUGGUCAGGCGUGUAACUGCUAUUUUUCAUUCAGUAUUUGCAUUUAGCAUCCGUUGGGUAAAUUGAAGGACAAACUGAAAAGACUUACUAAAGACGGAGUGAAAAGGGUGUCAGUGAUGGAGGGAGAUUCUGUCACUCUGCAUAUUAAUCAGACUUUUACUGAUAGAAGACAUUAUCGGAAUCCUUUAUUGUGGACUGGACCUGAAGACUACAGAUCGACAGUCAGACUGGAUCUCUGACCAUUAGCAACAUCAGAAGCACAGACUCUGGACUUUACGAACUUCAUGGAGACUUAAGCAAAUUAUUGUUCGAUGUUACUGUCUAUGCUCGUCUGCCCAAUCCAGUCAUCACCAGAGACUCUUGUAACUCUUCAUCAUCCAGUUGUUCAGUGUUGUGUUCAGUGUUGAAUGCGAGUGCUGUGAGUCUCUGUGAGUUUACUGUCCAGCAUCAGUGUGUCUGAUCGCAGCUCCAGUCUCUCUCUACAUCUGGACAUUAAAUGUCUGAAUGAUUCCUACUUCUGUAUUGUAAACAAUCCCAUCAGCAACCAAACAACACUUCUCAACAGCACUGAACUCUGUCAGCCAUGUCCAGACUCGAUUCACUGUUGUGGUUUCACUGAAGCUGUGAUUCGAUUGGUCAUCUCUGCUGUUGUGGGUGUGGCUGCUGUUACCAUGGUGCUUUAUGAUAUCAUAUCCAGAAAAGUUGAAGAGAUGAAGAGAACAUCACAGUCAGUCAUUGAAUAAUGAAUUAAUUAUUUGAAUGAUCAUUAAUUAUUUGUACUUCUGAGUCAGUUCUUGUUAAAAGCCAUGUGCAACAGUCAGUUUUACACUGAUUUUAAACUAAAUGUUUUUAUAUAUGUAGGUUUGCAAUGUUUUGCAAAUAUUCUUGUACAAUUUGCUUGUUGUUCAGUCAGGACUAAAUGGAGUCAGUUUGAAGUGAUCAUCAAGAACUGAAAGUUGUUUGUCUUAAAUUUUUUAUUGGAUUCAUGGAGAUGCACUGAAAUUAUUUCAUCGCAAAGAACUUGUAUUGGAGUGAAAAUAAAAAAUAUAAAGGAAUAU